UGGGGAAUAUUGCACAAUGGGCGAAAGCCUGAUGCAGCGACGCCGCGUGAGGGAUGACGGCCUUCGGGUUGUAAACCUCUUUCAGCAGGGACGAAGCGCAAGUGACGGUACCUGCAGAAGAAGCACCGGCUAACUACGUGCCAGCAGCCGCGGUAAUACGUAGGGUGCAAGCGUUGUCCGGAAUUACUGGGCGUAAAGAGUUCGUAGGCGGUUUGUCGCGUCGUUUGUGAAAACCAGCAGCUCAACUGCUGGCUUGCAGGCGAUACGGGCAGACUUGAGUACUGCAGGGGAGACUGGAAUUCCUGGUGUAGCGGUGAAAUGCGCAGAUAUCAGGAGGAGCACCGGUGGCGAAGGCGGGUCUCUGGGCAGUAACUGACGCUGAGGAACGAAAGCGUGGGUAGCGAACAGG
rnacentral:rRNA from 1 species